CCUGGCUCAGAAUCAACGCUGGCGGCAUGCCUAACACAUGCAAGUCGAACGAGAAAGUCCUUCGGGAUGAGUACAGUGGCGCACGGGUGAGUAACGCGUGGGUUAUCUACCUCUGGGUGGGGAAUAACUCGGGGAAACUCGGGCUAAUACCGCAUAAUACGUUUACGUUAAAGCAGCAAUGCGCCUGGAGAUGAGCCUGCGUCCGAUUAGCUAGUUGGCGGGGUAAUGGCCCACCAAGGCGACGAUCGGUAGCCGGCCUGAGAGGGCGGUCGGCCACACUGGCACUGAAACACGGGCCAGACUCCUACGGGAGGCAGCAGUGAGGAAUUUUGGGCAAUGGGCGCAAGCCUGACCCAGCAAUGCCGCGUGAACGAUGAAGUCCUUCGGGAUGUAAAGUUCGUAAGCAGGAGAAGAAUACUGACGGUAUCCUGUGUAAGCCCCGGCUAACUACGUGCCAGCAGCCGCGGUAAUACGUAGGGGGCAAGCGUUGUUCGGAUUUACUGGGCGUAAAGGGCGCGUAGGCGGCGCGUAAAGUCGGACAUGAAAUCAUUGGGCUUAACCUGAUGGCUGUGCCCGAUACUUACGUGCUUGGAGUGCGGGAGAGGCAAUCGGAAUUCUCGGUGUAGCGGUGAAAUGCGUAGAUAUCGAGAGGAACUCCGGUGACGAAGGUGGGUUGCUGGACCGACACUGACGCUGAGGCGCGAAAGCUAGGGGAGCAAACGGGAUUAGAUACCCCGGUAGUCCUAGCCCUAAACGAUGAAUACUUGGUGUGCGAGUUGUUUAGUACUCGCGUGCCGUAGCUAACGCGAUAAGUAUUCCGCCUGGGGAGUAUGAUCGCAAGAUUGAAACUCAAAGGAAUUGACGGGGACCCGC
rnacentral:rRNA from 1 species